rnacentral:rRNA from 1 species
CUACGGGUGGCAGCAGUGGGGAAUAUUGGACAAUGGGGGAAACCCUGAUCCAGCAAUGCCGCGUGUGUGAAGAAGGCCUGCGGGUUGUAAAGCACUUUCGGUUGGGAGGACUGCUUCUAGCACUAAUAUUGUUGGAAGUUGACGUUACCUUCAGAAGAAGCACCGGCUAACUCCGUGCCAGCAGCCGCGGUAAUACGGAGGGUGCGAAGCGUUAAUCGGAAUUACUGGGCGUAAAGCACGCGUAGGCGGCUAGAUCAGUCGGGUGUGAAAGCCCCGGGCUUAACCUGGGAACUGCAUCCGAUACUGUCUAGCUUGAGUACAGGAGAGGAGAGUGGAAUUCCACAUGUAGCGGUGAAAUGCGUAGAUAUGUGGAGGAACACCAAUGGCGAAGGCAGCUCUCUGGCCUGAUACUGACGCUGAGGUGCGAAAGCGUGGGGAGCAAACAGGAUUAGAUACCCGCGUAGUC